GCUAUGCGCAGAGCGCGUAUCACAUUCCAAAGCAAACCCGCGCGACGCCGCCGGGAGGAUGCACGGAAACCCCAGCGCGGGGCAAAAAUUGCUAUCAGAGUGGAAUUCGCCAUGAACUUCAACCGGCAAAUUACAAAACUGCCGAGGAAGCUGGGGGUAACCGCGUGUAGCGUGUACACCUGCUCCCGCACCCGCGCAUGUGCAGCGCAAUGCCGUGCGGCACCACCGGCACGUACUUACGUUGCCGCUGUUUCAACAGUUUCACCAACGAGCCGGCAGCGUUGGCAAUGCCGCCAUUUGCGUUAUUUUGGCCGCUUAGUACAGGUUCAGCAUCUCUUCCAUUCAGGACAGCACAGACCUGACUCUUGAGGCUGUGAGAUCUGCUGCCACCUUGUCAAACCAACAAGUACAGAGGAUGCUCGAGAGCUCUAAUCCAGCACAAAUGUUCGUCUCUCUUAGCCUGCAGCUCACGUAACAAAUGCCAAGCAGUUCGUCACAUUGUUCCUGUUCAAAAGGAACUGAACCGUGUGUGAACACCGAUGCUUACCAUGGAAACAUACCGCAAUUGGAUGGUUUUCUGAAAUAAUCGUGAAGCAAGAAGUUGUAUUCUGGAGAGAUAAAGAAAUCUGGAGAUCUUUGAAACUAGGGUUUCCUUCACAAAUUUUCUACUGCAGCAGUGCACAAUUUCAAAAAUAAAUGUGAAAUCUGUCUGUAUGUACUGACAUAUGAGGGCUUCCCUUGAAAUAAAUGUGACGACUAACAGUCUUA